rnacentral:tRNA from 2 species
GGGAGGGUGAAGGAUCCGGUGAUCCUUCCGGACUUCAAAUCCGGUAUGGGGCUAUAAACGUCCCGGAUGGGUUCGACUCCCAUACCUUCCCGCCA